rnacentral:misc_RNA from 1 species
GCUCUGUGAGGAGGAGAAUACUCAUAUUAGCACCAGAAUUGCAGGAACCAUAGGAUAUAUGGCUCCAGAAUAUGCGCUCUGGGGUUAUCUAACAGAAAAGGCAGACGUUUACAGCUUUGGGGUUGUUGCUUUGGAAAUUGUCAGUGGAAGGAGCAAUGCCAGUUACAGGCCGAAAAAUGAGGCUGUUUGUCUUCUUGACUGGGCCUUUAUUUUGCAACAGAAAGGAAAUUUAAUGGAAAUAGUGGACCCAAGGUUGGAAUCUGAAUUCAACGUGGAAGAGGCUGAAAGGAUGCUUAAUGUGGCUCUUUUGUGCACGAAUGCAUCACCAAUGAUAAGGCCUACAAUGUCAGCUGCUCUUAGUAUGCUUGAAGGACAAACGAGCAUUAAGGAAGUGGUAUCUGAUCCUAACAUUUACGCUGAUGGCCUGCGAUUUCCCAUCAAGGAUCAUUGCCAGCAAACGUCACACGAUGGUUCCACCACAAGCCAUGCACCUAUUUUUAUGUCUGAUAGUACAGGGAUUGGAUCUUCCACUACAUCUGCUCAUGAUCUCUACCCAGUUAAUCGUGAGUCCAUAAGUUUUGACAUCAGUGAAACUUCGCCACUUUCAUACUAGUGUUAUGUUCAAUAAGCAAGAGAGUUUCGAAAUUUCAUAUGGUUCAGGUGCUUGUUUAAUUUAUGUUGUUGUAACAUAAUUCUCUUCAUGUGAAAUAAUCUAGGAAACAGAAAUUUUGAUGUGUGAUUAACUUAUUAAACAUGUUUGUUUGAAGUUUGGUUGCCAGGAAAAUGAAAUGUCUAUUUUCAGCAUCCU